GACAGCUCCAUCAGUCUGGCUGUUCCUGAGAGUCCUGAACUGAGUCUGCUGUGUAGCAACAAGGGGAAGAUCAUUGUGGUGGGAGGAGACACCAUGAGUGAUGCUACCACGUUCUCCAGACUGCUUUUCAACAGUGGUUUCCCCAGAGUUUGUUGUCUUCAUAGAGGAAUGGCCGUGUUGAAAGACACCCUACUGAUGACUCCAAUCAUGACAUAAAUAUAUAACGUUAUCUAUUCAUAUCUGUGAUAUAAAGUAUGGUUAACAAAGAAACUGCAUAACUAUCGAAGGACAUUUCAAAAAGAGAAAAAUUCAGAAUGUGCUUCGAAUGUUGUGUUUUUUUGAAUUUUUUUAUGAAAUAUUUUAGCUUUAAAAUAUAUUGUUAUGGUGUAUUCGUGUGGACGUGUUUGGAUCACAAAGUUACAAACAGUAUCAGAAAAUCUUAUUUUAACUUGCAAAAGAAUAAUAAUAUUUUUUCAUAUUUAUUUGUAUUUAAGAAAAUAAUUUAUCUAGGUUUGAAGUUGCUGGAAAGUGUAUGUUAGUUUUACAAGCCGUUUUUGUUGACUGCAUUUUAACCAAAUUAUAUUUAUAAUAGUGAAUACAUGUUUGUAUGUACAGUAUAUAAAAUAUAUUUUUUCCUUUAACAUAUUAUUCAACGUCCUCUUUUAAAACACAAGCUUUAAUAUAUUUAAGCUUAUUGUUACCUGUAAAUUGUAAGCAUGAAUGUAAAGUGAUAAAUAUAAUUUUGUAUUAUAUUAAGCAUCUAAUUUU